UGUCAAAUAUUGUAAAGAGCUAUUCGAAAUGAAUUUUGAACGUCGAACACAAGAAAUGGGAAGAUUAAGUGAAUAGGCAAAGGCAACGCAAAAUUGCAGGACAAUCCUAUAAAAACAGAAAUGGGAACGCUGUAGCUGAAAAAAAGAUACCUAACCUACAAAUAACAUGUAAAUGUAAAUUUAACUACAAGUCGUUAAACUACGAACAUAGAUUGACACUUUUUGAAAAAUACUAUGAGUGCAGACCUAAAGUCCGUGGAACGUACAUCAUGAAAUAUCUACUCUACUACUCUACUAGUUUGGACACCUACAAGUUUUACCAAAAAGUGUUGAAAGAAGACUUUCCAAAUGUUUCAUUUGGAGGACGUCAAAGUCACACCUGUCGUAAAUGUGACUCGUUAAAUUGCACAAUAAAAGCGCAGGGCGAAAGAAGUGGGGCAGCAAAGUUGGAGCUGGAGGUGCACCAUAGCAAGGCGGAAGCAGCGUGUAUGCUCAUGAAAACAGAUAUCGCAUCAUCGCAAGUGCCAGGAAGCAUCACGCGUGUGUUCUCAGUGGACUUAACCCAUUCUGACAUGUUCUACAUGAGACAACUUUCAUGCUACAACUUAGGAAUCAACUUUGGGGAUGACAGGCAUUCAUACAUGUGUGGCAGGACAUGGUGGUAACGAAAUUGGGUCUUACAGAAAAAAAGCAAUGUUGUUGUUUG